AAUUUUUUCUGAAAGGAACCGCUUAAUAGCACGUUCUUGGCAAACCCUGCCCACAACUCCACGCUGCCUCCCCAAUUCGCCGCUCCGUCCAUCAACUCCCUCCGAUGACAACCAGAGUACCAGACGCUCCACACCUUGACCUCGGGCGAUGUCGUCGUCCCCCACCUCGAAGCCAUGGACGGCACCGGCCCUGCCCCUGCCCCGCUGGCAUGCAUGUCCCCGUCGCCGGCCCUGCCCCGCUGGCCUGGAUGCCCCAGGCCGCCGGUCCGUGCCCUGCUGGCCUGGACGCCCCCGCCGCCACCUCGCUGGGGCGUACACCAAGGCGGCGCCCCCAACUCGUGGCCUGGUCGCCUCCGCCAAUAGCACAGCCUGGACGCAGCCGCCGCUGUUCCUCGAUGUGACGCCGACAUGCUCCGUGCGAGGACAUCUUUGGCACGAAGCUCCCCCAUCGCCGCACCAGUCUCCUCGCGCGUACACCAAGUCAAGCACGAAAAUCUUAAAUCGAUCUCUCAACAACUCACAGCGUCGUCAAGCAGUACCUAAGACUUCAUCGCUGCCACAGGAAGCAAGAAGAAACGGAGAGAUGAAAGAGAUACAAAACAUCCUCGCUGAUAAGUCUUGCAUGGUUGUUGAUCCAUGCUUUUUUUUCCCGAGGAACCAUCAGGAAAGUUGCUGCAGCCUGCAAGAUAAUCUAAUUAAUCAGGUCCUACUGCUAAGAAGCAAUGGUCAACUCCUAAGGAAAAAAAUCAUCAGUGAAGAAGGAAGUCUAGAUUGAAUCCACUUCAACCAAAAUAUUUUCUAUCAAGAUAUGGCAAGUUUACUUGUAACUACCACUUGAUCCUAAAUGAGCAAAUAAUAGCGCCGAUACUGGCGACGUCUGCAAUCUGCCCAACCACCAUGUCCUCCUCCCCGUUCUGGACUUUGAGAAGAUUGCGAUCUGCAAGGCCAGCCUCAUGCGGUCAUACUCAUGCAGCCCAUCCAGUACCGCUGCUGUAUAUGUGAGCUAGAGUUGCAUUUUUGUGUGCAUGUGGGAUCCCUAAAAAUGCUGAAAUACAAGUGUUCGAUGGUAAGAAGAGUUUAAAGGAGAGAAUGUAGAGUCGUGGAUCCUUUUCCAAUGUGUCCUGCUUCUCAAUGGGGGCGAAAGGCCAGAAGGGUGCGAAGUGGUCGUCUUCAAACGGAAGAGUGAAGGAGGACCCGACGGCGAUCUCCUGCGCCUCCUAUCGAGGUAGAGCAGUUGGAGCGACUCACAUCUGAAAAAAUUUAUAAUGACCAGUUAUUUGCUCCUGCGGCAUUUGAUAGUACAUCUGAAUACAUCCGGAGAGGCUGUUGCCCGGCACAUGACAUCGGAGGUGGGGCGGCAAGGAUGUGGUCGCCACUGGGUAAUCCCAACAUCCCCGCUUCUCCUCUUCCGACCUCGACAUCACAACCGACCUCAAGGCUCGAGUAGCACCAGCAAAACAGCAUUCACUGGCUCAUCUGAUGCUACCACCUCGGCGUUAACGUCCUGCUCAGUCUGUACCCACUCCUCCAAUUUUGGAAAGAAGGAGGCAAAUUUAUGCGAGUUUGUGUGAAUCUUUGUCGGCUAAGUAGUUCAUCAGGCUUUCAGCCCAUCAUCACGGACGAUCUCCUUUGUGCUCUAUUUUGUCGUCGAUGGAGACCAAACCGAAGUUGGAGUUCUCAAAUGCAGAUUUGUGUUUGCUCGGUAGUUGGAUUGUUCUUGUGGCAGGUUCAUAUUUACUUGCCUCGAUGCCUACUGCAUUCCCAUCAAGGGUUGUGGAGUGGAAGCCCUUCUCGUGGAGAAGCUGGACGGCGCUAUAUGAGUCGUUGCCUCUCCUGCAGACGGCGUACAAGUGAGGCUGUUUAUCCAAACCGUUGGCGGAGGAAUCCUUCGUUUUCGUCAGUGAGGUCUUGAGCAUAGGCAGCUUCUCCUCCAGAACAGAGAGCGGUAUGUUCAGAAAGUGAAACCAUUUGGGAGUUAUGAGCAGGCCGUAUGUCCAGCUGCAGAUGAGGUUCAGGCUCGGCACCGCCUGCGUUAUGUCAGAUGAAAAUGUGAAAUAUCCUAACUUCUCAACCUGGAGCACUUGGUGAUGCCACCACGCCGCCACCGCCUAAAACGAUGUAUUUGUAGCUUAUGCACAAUCACAUUGGCAAUGCGAUUCCUCGGGGGCAGGGCCGGAAGGUGUGGUGGUGGGACAGACGACGGAAGAGGAAGCUCAUCUUCCAAGCCUAGAAGCAAGGUGUUCAACAGGUUUCCUCAUGAUAUGCAGAGUGACCACCCGUCUUUGAAUCCUAAAGGAAAUCAUUCAAGUGGCCACCCAGGACCAAUCUCUGCGAGUCUAUUUGUUUUCCAAUAUGUUAGGUUACAGUGAUUUAUGAGUAUAUCUCCAACAUGACGUUUCAAAGGAUGAAGAUGAAAUGGGAGAGUUUGAGUGUUGUUUGGUGCGUCUGUUUCUCCAUGUUGGUAUGCACGUGACAUUGAGAGAUUCAAAGAUGUGGCUUAGAAGAAAUGAGAGCAAGAUUGUCUCGGAGAAAUUGAGAGGAAUUGCUCCGUGAGCUGCUUGCUAUUGCGCGAAUUAAACUACCAACCAUUUUGUGUUCGAUUAAACAGAGAUGAAUUAAACAGGA